rnacentral:rRNA from 1 species
AUGAGGUACAUGGAGAUUGCCGUACCUUCCAUUGGUGUAUAUGCAAGCUACAGAGAAAACCAAAUAUGCACCAUGCCGAUAUGCUUCAUGACGAGUGUGCUUUUGUCAUCCCUCACCCUCUCAGUUGCUGACCAUGUGAUUAUGGUAGUCUACAAUUUGCUUAUGGGUUCUUCAUUGCUUGAUUUUUAUCUCGGACAAAAGAGGGCCAGCCACACCUUUGAAAUAAGCAGCGGUCAUCCAGUCCAGAACAGACUGAAUCUGCUCGACAAAGUGUGGAAAGGCAAUUACUGCUUGGCAAAGUGUAAAAAAGGCCAGGGUAUCAUUUAUGUAGUUAUUUGGAAUGCAAGAUCCAAGAAAUAA